AUCACACGAUUUAAAUGUUACAAGACUUUUAACAAUAGUGUGGUGCAAGUGAAGUUGUCCUGUGGGCUGAUGGUGACUAAAGCCUUUGUUUUCUAUCCUUCCUAGAAAUUAAGAAGCCACCAGUGGCCCCCAAACCAAAAUUUGUGGUAGGACACAAGGCAACACCUCCACCUGUUGCACCGAAGCCCGAUGUUGUACUUUCUGGUGUUAUACAAGCAGCAAGGAAAACCAAGCCAGCAAUUGCACCGAAACCAAAGGUUCUCAAGAGCUCAUCCGUUCCAGAAGUUAAGCCUCCAUCGUCUACACGAAAAAGCACAAAAAGCUUUGAGGAGCACAGGGGAGAUUCUUCUCAAACGCUAGACCACUUGAACUAUAAAAAUGAAGCCUCGGAAGGGAGUAUUGGUAACACAGCAUAUAUUCUACCAAUGUCGUCUUGCAAGUUUGGAUGCCUUCAUAAGCUUGGAAAUGGGGAGAACACCUGUAAAACUCAGAUAAUUUUUGAGCACUUUGAAAACUUGGAGAACAUCAAAGUCGGUGACAAAAACACACUAGCUCUGGGGGACAGUCACAAUGAAAAACUGGCAAAUAGAAAUCAGGUGGUUUUGAAAGCCAGCAUUUUGGAAGAGAAACUUAAGGACGUUCUAACUCAUAGUGUGUUUCCUAACAGCAGUCCUGUGAGGCACAGGUAUGCAGACAAACUUGACAAAGGGGAUGGCAGCAAUUCCAAGAACGACGUUAAAAUAGAGUUUAUGGAGCUUGUGCAGUCGUCUUCGUCGUCUGAGGUAGCCAAAGGGAAGCAACAAAAUACUGACGGUAAGCUCACUGCUGAUGAAUUUCAGAUGUCUGAAAUUUGUCCUAGUUUGACUGCAAAUAACCACAGUUGCUCUUGCCCAUUGGACCAGGAAAUCCUGGAAAAUGAAAAUUUAAGUAGCAAUAGCACAUUUUCGGGUGAAAUAAGUAUGAAAGCAGAUGCUGAUAAAGCCUCCGCUGAAACAUCUUCGGUCCUGAGCUCAAAAGUGCUUCCUAUCCCUAAGCCAAGAAAGCCGCGUGCUGCAUGUCUAGUCCGUCAGGAUGGCAUAGACGCCACAGGAGAAGGAACAAAGGAACCAUCUAAUUCAGAGAAAGAUUCCUUUGGGCUUGUGGACCAAAGCUUUAAAAAGCCAGCAAAAAUUAAUAUCCUUGGUCAAAGUGUUUGUUACAACCAUAAUACAGAAGUGCUUCAUCCUGAAAAAUGUGAGAUAACUCAAAGCAAUGCAGACAAAAUGCAUCAGGUGAAGGAACCUGCAACAGAAGAGUCAACUUCACAAAACCUUUUGCCUCACUUGUCACACAAAACUUCUGAUUUGGUGGAACGUGUUGAAUGUUCUUUAGAUGCAGACCAUAACUUAGUUAACUCCAUGGAUGAGAUGACAGAUGAUGCCAGCAUGCUAGAUGCUGUGGACAAAAGGACUAACUUUGUCAGGUGUGAUGCUUUGUCCAUGAGUUUGCCAAAGCAACUCAAAUUAACUAGCAGUCAGCACUCAUCUGCUUCCAAUAGCCUCCAUGUUUCCCCACAAAAAUUGGAAGAUAAAGAAGGUAAAAUAAAGGAUGAAAGUUCUCCAAAAGUCAUUCCUAAGAAACCACAGAGGCACAGCCUUCCAGCUGCUGGCCUGCUGAAAAAAGCUGCAUCAGCAGAGCUUGUGGAGAAAAGUUCUUACACCUCCAGUGAGGACAAGUCGAACAGUGUUACGGAAGGAUCUCACUUCACACAUCCACCAGCCAAGGGGCAAGGUGCAUUGUCAUCCUGUGACAUACCCAAACGUUCUUCUGAGAAACCCGUCUGGAAGUUACCUCAUCCUAUUCUUCCAUUUUCAGGAAAUUCUGAAUCAUUAAAAACUGCUAACGUUGCUACCAGCUUCAACCACUUGACUGUUGUGACAAAGCCUAGGGCUAAAUCUCUCUCUUCUGUGGACAUGGAAAGGACAGACAAGCCUUGCAAAGACCAUCAGAAGAAAAACAGCUUGAAAAAGUUUCUCAACAUGAAACUGUCGGUUUGCUUAAUGAAAAGCGACUUCCAAAAAUUUCUGUCUAAAGGCAGCCAGUCAAUGGAUAGUGCUAUUGCCAACCUUUCCACCGGGGAGGGGUAUGGAAGUGGUAACAACCGGAAUACAGCAUCUGUAGGCAAUGAAAGGAAAGCCAAAUCUGCCAAGGUGCAUUCUGUAGAAAUAAGUAGUCCGGCCUUACAGAAGAAGAGGCAGAGAAACAGAAGUCAGCCUGAGAUGCGAAAUAACCAAAGGCUGGAGUCUUUAGAUGGGCAUGUACUUUCGGGAGAGUGUUUGUCAGAAAUGCAUUUGAAUUCUGUAACCAGCACUCGUGCUCCAGAGUACGAGAACGUGCGUCACUACGAGGAAAUACCCGAGUAUGAGAACUUGCCUUUUGCUAUGGGUGCUGGGAGAAAUCUCUGUUUUGAAUGGCAGAACUCCAGCAGCGUGGAAGACCAGAGCCCUGGCUUCUAUGAGGCUGAGGAGCCUUGUGAGGCUACAAGCAGGCGUUUGAGACUUGGCAGGUAA